CAAACGCAAUUCUUGUGCGAUGGAGCCGUACGAACCAAGAAUUGUGUCUGGACAUCUGUAGCAGAGAUUUCACCUCUACCGGAUGGGUGCAUUGGGGCGGAGGAAGAGGAAGGGGCCUUCCCGGGGCUCGGGGCACUACAAGGAUUUUGCUGUAUCCCUCCUUGCUUCUCUGGCUUCUCUCAUCUUCCCGUUUCUGGAUUUUUUUUUUGGCAAUGAUUGGCAGCUUUUACUACAGCAGGAGUGAAGCCAUCUGGGUCUACCUGUGCAGGGGGAAUAACAUCUCCCAAGGAAGGAACUCAUCAUGAGCAAAUGGCUCUGGGGGUGAUAAGAACAGACAAGCCUAUCCCAGGGCACAAACUCAGUACAGUGUAGAGCAGGCAGUCACACUGGAGACGAACUUGUCUUUUCCCACUUGGACUCCCCUUUCUGCUCCCUAAGUCUAGCAAAGCUAAUCACCACGAAUUCAGGAUAGAAAAGGGCCUUUGGCCCAUUCGUGUUAUUUACAAACAGUGCAAGCUGGACCCAAGUCACUGCAGCUGAAUUUGGGAAAAGGUGAAUGUUGGUUUGCCACCAGCAGUGGGCUUGAAGUCAGUGUUUCUUGCAUGCAGUGGUAUCAUAGCCUGGGCAUGCUAUUGGUUAUGCAUGUGUGGGGUGUAAACGCAAGAGGAGGCACUGGCGAAGACAGGCACUCCCUCCGCGUCAAACAGAGGAACAGGAAAGGUGCCAAGUACAGAGCUGCUCUGGGGUGUUGAAUGCCUGGUAUGGACCUCUGGGGGUGUCAGGUGCCUGGUACAGAGCCCUGGGGCUGUCGGACUAGGUCAGGGGCUGGUGACUGCACUGCUCGCCGCCUCCCAACUCCUCCUCAGCAGCUCUUGGAAACCAAGGACAGAGUAAGCAGCACAUGAUGCAAAUCAGCUCUGAGAUGUGCACCAAGCUUAUGGCAGUGGCCAGCCCUCUGCUGCCAAGGACCACCACAUGCUGCCAAAGCCAUGCUGAAAUGCUGGUGAGCAGGGCAUGGGUAAGCACAGGAAGGGCAACCCUGGUUGGACGCUCCUGGAAAUUCAUGCAUGUUUUGGACCGGCUGGUGCCAAUGCUAUGUUCUCUGCCCACCUCCUUGUACUCUUGCCAUGGCCUUCCAGGCCAAUUCAUCUGUCUGAGGAAACUUCCGGAAAGCAAACAGGAUCAAUGCCCUAGCAGAGCUGUGCACACCCACUUACAGUGCACUCACAGGAUGUCCUCAGGACACACUGUCAGAAGCACACCCCCCACGAUGGAAAGAGUUAAAAAGCCAACCGACUUUUUUUCCAGGGUCUGCAUGAUUUCACAGACCAUCUUCUGUCACAACUCUUCCUAUCAGGCUGCAGCAAUGCAGCUCCUCACCUGCACAGAAUGCAACACCGGCUGAUCCAUUCUACCCAUCAUGGCAACAGAAAGUUAGUUUGCUGCCCUUAUCAUUCCGUGUAGUCUCAGACCAGACAAGCUUAUUUCUCCUCCAAAGAAACAGCUGUAAAAUUUGCAUUGUUCGUGUGCUCACCCUGCCUCAGCUCAGGUAAGAAAGAGGCAUAAGACAUCAAAAAACAAAGCGCAAAAAGCGUAUUUCUCUCCUGCUUCCCAUAAACAUGUAUCACGACAAGUGGAACGUCACAACAGUGAGCUCUGAAGUUGUAAUGUUUGCUGCCUCCUAGAAAAGCUAGUGGAGAAACCUUUUAUUUCCUUGCGCUUCAGGUCUUCCCCUGGCUGGUGCACAGACUGUACCAACACUAAGCAUUGUAUUAUAAGAAUUGCAGUUCUCAGCACCAAGGCAGCUGGAAAAAACAGCUUUGCCCCAAAACAGUCACACCCCCCACCGAAUGCAUCACUGCCUGCAGACACACCAUCCUACUCCAGGUUCAGCACCCCUUUUACUCCUGUCAUGGUAAAACAAAGGCCCACAACACUGCAGGUGCACUCUGCUCGUCAAACUACCUGGAAGCGCCGGCAAGAGAGGUGAAAUAAGGAGAUCAAAGAUGGAUGCUGUUGUGGUGGACAGCAGGCCACACACUGACAAGCCUUUAUUUGGAUGUCUAGUAGUAACAAGUGAACAUGAUGGGGAGGUGCAGAGACCAGGUACAGGCAGUUCAGGAGAGGUUUGGCUGGGUUUACAUUUUUGUUUGAAUUUACAUCCUCUUUUUUUUUCAGAAGUUUACCCACCAUGCAACGUUGAGAUGAAAAGAACAUUAUCCUGGUCCUGGAGUUUAUAAUCCAGCUCACCCUGCAGGCCAAGAACAAAAAUAACAAAUAUUUUAAAUGUCAUUGCCAAAUACUAGCUGCAAAACAGCUCAUGAAAAGAUGGUGAGUGUUACGGAGAACAGAAGGGGCUAGACUGAUGUUUUCAUCCUAACAGAAGCAAAGGUGAGAGAUCAAACAAGGAAUCAUCCCACAUUGCCUUCUGGACCAAGUGUUUGACAGAACAGGUCAUUGUCGGAAGCAGGAAAAUAGUUGAGGCUGUUUUUUGUCUCAGAAUGACAGUGGGCUGAGAAGGGAAGAGAUUCACCAGUUGCCUGUUUGGGCAGAGAUCUCCGCACGUCUGCCAACACCUGCUGUGGCACCACCUUCCUCUAGCAAAAGGGCUCUUCUUGGGGCUGGGAAACUGCCUGGUGCCCAUGAAGCUGGUACCUAAGGAGCCCUACUGGCAGACAGAGGUGUGAAGUCUUCUGCCAGAGCCAAAGAAUAUGACACCAUCUGGCUGAUGAGACUCAGCAGGUUAGAGAACCACUCCAGGCUUCCAGCAGCCACAGCACAAUACUAGGAGAGGGAUCCCCACCUGCCCCUUCCACCUCAAAUAAGGGAUGUUUCACUUGGGGUGAGAACCAGAAACAGCUUCUCUAAGAGAAACUACAGAACAGGUAAAGAAAGUCAAACUGAAGGAGUACAAACCAUUAGUUCCCAGUCUGCAUCGUUGAUGAGCACCAAAAUUCCUGGCCUCCUGCAGAACAGAAUCAUUAGGAUACAAGGUUGCUAAACAGCCUCACCAAUAGUUAAGAAUAAGGCAGAGAUCACAGGCUGGCCACCUUUAAAGCCAAAGAGAAAAAGGAAUCCUAUCAUGGAGCUGGAAAUGGGUACAACCUGUGCCCUUUCUUGAUCAAAUAAAGGAGAGGCAGGAGCAAUCUCGAAGCUUAUUUUAGUCAAAAGGCUCCAUUCCUGAAGAUGCUCUGAGAUAACUUAAUUUCUCUAUGAGGUACAAAAGCCAGGUAAUUAAAACCCACACACCACAGUUGAGCAGAGAGCUUGCUGUGAAGGUAGGGAAAGAUAUUCCCGUGCUCCUACUAAAGGUACUUAUCACCCGGGAUCCACUCCAAGCCUCUGGUUACAGGCAAAGGGAUUCCCCCUGUUUGAUCUUCAGUGUCCUGCAAUUGUAUCUCCCGUUACCAGGGGACCUGGCACAUGCUUCAGCUCACAAAGAUCUGUGACGAAUGCAAUCACCCCCAGCGCCACCCUGCAGUCAGGCAUGGCUUGCACAGCUCACUCUGCUCCAUUUCUCUCGGUUUUUUUUUUUUUCCUUUUUCCUUCCAAGAGGUUGGCCCCAUUUUGACAAUAAAAAUACAUUUCCCAGAUGAAA